UGCAGCCGCCACCUCCCGUUCUCCUCCUCAUCUAGCCUCUUUCGCCGUCCAGCACCUCGCCGCCCAGCACCCCGCCGUCCAGCACCUCGCCGUCCAGCGGCGCCCUGGGGGUGCUGCCGACGUCCUGCCCCAACCUGCAACUGACUGUGCUGCGCUUCUAGGUUUAAUACCAGUGGGCAGCGUGGGGAAGGGAAUUUGGGAAGGAAGAAGGAAAGGGGAGGGUCAAGGAAAGGGGAGAGGUUAGGGCAUUGCGAAAUCCAUUGAACCCAUUCACAAAAUCGUGAUCUGGACUGGGUUGCAGAGUCCCAGAGUUGAGAGCGAAACGCCUGGUUCUCGUCGAGGUUAAGGCAAGUGCAUGACGAACUGUUUGUUGGCAAUUUGCUUAACAUCUCUUUUCUUAUGAUACCUGAUUGGUUCAUCAUGUGUUUAUGAUAUUCAAGUUCACGAUUUGUUCAUGUUUCAUGAUUCAAGUUUCAAGUUAUUCCUUUAAAUUCCAUUCAUGUUUCGGUGGAUCCGGAUGUGCAAUUUGGUUCUUUUAUUCAUAUUCCUGUGAGUAAGUGCUGGCCCCACUUGCUCGGCUUUACCGGUAAAUGCUAAGGAUGUUUCAGGUUGUGUCCAUUUCAAAUGGAAACUACUGUUUCACGGUUAUUCAUUCGUUCAUGGUUCAUGUAUGUUCUUUCAGUUCUAAUUGUACUUGCUGAGUAUAAUUACUCACUCUUGUGUUUAUUU